AGAAAGAAUUCAGCGUUUCAGAAUGUGGCGGUAUAUCUGUGAAUAUUUUCCUUGCUUCGGCGGGAAACUACCAGAUGAACCUACACAAGAAAUUAUCGAGAAACAACCAGAUGAACAAACUGAAACAGUUAUUGUGGUAAACACUGUUUUCUUUUUUGUUUGAAAAAAUAAAAGUUUAUAUUGAU